GUUUUAAUAUUUUAAUAAAUAAAAUAUCGGUCUUGUAAAUCGAAGAUAGUUUUACUUUAAAACU
rnacentral:tRNA from 1 species